rnacentral:ncRNA from 6 species
GUUGAUGGACCCGUCCUCCGGUGCCUACUGAGCUGAUAUCAGUUCUGAUUUUACAUACUGGCUCAGUUCAGCAGGAACAGGAGUCGAGCCCUAAA